rnacentral:rRNA from 1 species
AUUGAACGCUGGCGGCAUGCUUUACACAUGCAAGUCGAACGGCAGCGCGGGCUUCGGCCUGGCGGCGAGUGGCGAACGGGUGAGUAAUACAUCGGAACGUGCCCAGUAUUGGGGGAUAGCUCGGCGAAAGCCGGAUUAAUACCGCAUACGACCUGAGGGUGAAAGCGGGGGAUCUUCGGACCUCGCGCUAUUGGAGCGGCCGAUGGCAGAUUAGCUAGUUGGUGGGGUAAAGGCCUACCAAGGCGACGAUCUGUAGCUGGUCUGAGAGGACGACCAGCCACACUGGAACUGAGACACGGCCCAGACUCCUACGGGAGGCAGCAGUGGGGAAUUUUGGACAAUGGGCGAAAGCCUGAUCCAGCAAUGCCGCGUGUGUGAUGAAGGCCUUCGGGUUGUAAAGCACUUUUGGCGGGAACGAAAAGGACUGUGCCAAUACCACGGUUCGAUGACGGUACCCGCAGAAUAAGCACCGGCUAACUACGUG